UUGCGGCCUUUGUAAUUAUGUUAUUGGUUGGUAUUGUAGAGGGUACCAUCAAAGGCUGCAAAAAUCGGUUAGGAACAGAGGUGCAGAGCUGCUGCAGCUAUGCUGCGGCUGCCCUCUUUUCUGUGGCAUCCUUCGGUUAUGGCUGGGGAAGUGCAGGAGACAGGAGUGCUGCCAUCUUUCCCUAUUUGGCAAAGUCCUUGGCCUUCCAACCUAAGGUGAGGGAAUCGACUGCCAUUGCCGAUGUGCUGUGAAGUGUGCCCGCUGCCUUGGGACGGCGGUUCGUUUGGGCCCGGCCCGGAGAGAGUGUGAUUUUGGGCUCAAAGAACACAGGCCCGAAGUUUGGCACUCCUAAAUUUGUAAUUGGAUAUUGCUUUCCAAGUUUUCUUUCUUUCUAUUCUCAAAUCAAGUGUGAAACAUUUAUAAGAGUUAAAAUAUAUUGCUUUCGAGCACCUUUAGUUCGGAAUAAACAAAUAUCAUCGUUCUUCUUUCA